AUUGAACGCUGGCGGCAGGCCUAACACAUGCAAGUCGAACGGUAACAGGAAGAAGCUUGCUUCUUUGCUGACGCGUGGCGGACGGGUGAGUAAUGUCUGGGAAACUGCCUGAUGGAGGGGGAUAACUACUGGAAACGGUAGCUAAUACCGCAUAACGUCGCAAGACCAAAGAGGGGGACCUUUGGGCCUCUUGCCAUCGGCUGUGCCCAGAUGGGAUUAGCUAGUAGGUGGGGUAACGGCUCACCUAGGCGACGAUCCCUAGCUGGUCUGAGAGGAUGACCAGCCACACUGGAACUGAGACACGGUCCAGACUCCUACGGGAGGCAGCAGUGGGGAAUAUUGCACAAUGGGCGCAAGCCUGAUGCAGCCAUGCCGCGUGUAUGAAGAAGGCCUUCGGGUUGUAAAGUACUUUCAGCGGGGAGGAAGGGAGUAAAGUUAAUACCUUUGCUCAUUGACGUUACCCGCAGAAGAAGCACCGGCUAACUCCGUG
rnacentral:rRNA from 1 species